rnacentral:misc_RNA from 1 species
CCUAUAUUAAUUUAGCAUAUGUACGUAUAUUACUUAGAUUUAUUGCGAAAUAAAUAAAACGAUCUAAGCGAAUUCAACAUAUGUAUUUAUAUCAUUCAUGGAUAAUGAAGGACAAAAUUGAUGAAUGUCGUGUUCACUAAGUCAUUGAUAUCGCUAUCUGGCAGAAAUAUGUGGAGAAGUUCUCGGUCAGGUAGUCGAAUGCAAACGAAGUUAUUACGGAUAAUUUGCAUAAUGGGAUUUUAAUCUGUAGACAUGUCGAGGAUCGAGCUUGGUGACACCUUAUUGGUGCAUAAAAGCAUGCAAGGUAUUAAUCACCUGUUCUCCGAACGGACAGCUGUUCAAUGAAAAACAUAAAUUUCCAUUCGCUCCUAAUAAAUCAAACUAUUAUUUCAACUGUACCUAUAUCGUAUUUUCUCGUAAAAUAAUAUCUCUAAAUCAACAAAUUUCACUUCAGAAUUUUCCUCAAAAUUAAAUAACAUCUUCCAAACGAUCAAAUUAUUUUUUCUAUGACAAUUGACUCUCCACACUUACAAUAAAUCUUCAUCUUUAUUUUUCUUCUCUCUCCCUUAUAUUAAUCUGCUCAUUAUAGAUAUUCGAAAAUUUCCAAAAAUACCCGAGCUGAAUGACUCUCGACAUCGUUUCCACUAGAAAAACGAGAUAAUAAGCGAGUAGAGAUGUGUGACGCAGCUGCGACACGAAGCAGUUUUGCGAUUGAAAUCGUGAAAGGCGGGCGACUUCCCGCUUCGGCGUAGAGUGACGAAACAGCCCCGUUGACCGACAUUGCCAGAGCACGUGUCGAGCGCGUCGACAACCGACCAACGUUCCAGGCCAGCGAUGAAAUUCGAGAAAAAAAGGGAAAGUGAGAGGGAAAAAGCUUCUCAGGAAAUCGGGGAAGGGAGAAUACGGGGGAGGCGCGAGAAUUGGCCGAAAAUGUGUGGAUUUUCGGGUGUUUCGGGGACGAUGUGCGAGGAGGAACGACUUUGUUCGUGCAGGGCGCCGUGGCGUCGCGCCGGCAGGCUUCGAGCCAAUGCGCUGUGAAAAUGCCCGGGUGGGAAAGGGUGGAUCGGGGGUGGCGCGCAAGCGUCGUCGUGGUAUCGACGCUUCGACUCCCGGGCCGAGGGAAAGAAGCGGAUUCAGACGGUAGUAGUAAAGCCUAGCUCGGGUCGGCCGAGCGCAAAUGUGCGCUCUACGUGGUGACAGCCGCGUCUCGUUCGAGCUGCUCUCAUCUGAGAUCUCGUUGUCAGAUCACGAAGAACGUGAUUCUGAGGUUCAACGUUCGAUCGUUGAAUCGGAGAGAGAGAUGUGUCCGGCGUGAUGGGCGAACGAAGAAACCGUGAAGGGCAGAGAACGUCUCUACCACAAGUGUGAACAUCCCCUUGGUUUCAGUGUGUGCCUCCAUCGUUUCUAUCUCGUUCGUUCGGCCCGUCUCUCUCGUUCUGUGCCUCUGCCUGCCUGUUCUCUCUGUUCUCUCGCUGUGCUUUCUGUCCUGGUCUUGCACACACACAUACACAUAUACACACACAAACGUGUCUCUAUCUCUUUCUCACACUUUCUGGUCGUCAUCAUCUCUUUUUCGAGAUCGAGGUGGUAAAAGUGGCGCGAGCACGGGCAGACCCAGCCGAAGACUGGCAGCGUCCAAGGCACUGGCGGAGCUGGUGCACGAGAUCAGGAUGAAAUCGAGGAGCAAUAUAGCUGUAUUGAUUCUCCAUCAAGAUCGUCGAAGUUACGAGGUCGUUAGAAAAGGUACGUUCGCAUAAAGAUCUCGGACAAAGUUUAUCGUUGCUGGUGGAGGAUUGACAGCCUCCGGCAGGGCAAGUCUUGAGGCGAAGGAUUUCGAGAAAG